rnacentral:misc_RNA from 1 species
GAAUAAGAGAGACUACAGCAGAAAAGGAAAUCCAUAGCAGACCAAAAAGUGUGAGAUCAUGGGCUAGGAGCUCUAUGCAAAUUUCUGGUUCACAAUCAAAUAGCUUUGAACGUCGUUUCAAAGCUCACUUACGGACUUCAAAUAAAAGAUCACGUUAUAGUGAAACUAAUACCAUGGCAGGGGACAUUAAGUAUGGUGAUGAUUCAGAUAUUAAGCCAUCUAUCCUACCACAAAGCAAGACUAUGGCGCCCUCGGAUCCAAAACCUAGAAAACCACUAGCUCACCACAGAAGAAGGAUGUCUGAUCUUCUCUAACUAUUACAAGAGUUGAUCAAAGGUGCUUAGCUUCUUUUUUUUUUCCCUUUUGGUGUUUUGACUUUGGUUUGGUGUUGCUGCUGCUACUGCCAUUGUUUUCAUUUUUCUUUAUGGUCUGGAAGUGAUUCAAGAUCGACUACGAGAGAAAUUCUUUCAAGGGUUCAUGUGUUAUAGGUGUGACAUUUCUUGAGAUAGUAUUAACUUUAUACUUUGCAGAAAGAAUGGUUUCUUUAGGCUUGUGUGUUUACAUCAAAAUGUCAUGUUGUUUUGACAGUGUGAAGCAAGUGCAG